rnacentral:rRNA from 1 species
GACGAACGCUGGCGGCGUGCAUAACACAUGCAAGUCAAGGGGGCCCGCAAGGGCAACCGGCGAACGGGUGCGUAACACGUAAGCGACCUACCUCGAUGUGGGGCAUAGCCGGCCUAACGGCCGGGUAAUUCCGCAUACGCUCUUGGAGGGGCAUAUCUCCGAGAUGAAACCAGCAAUGGGCAUUGAGAGGGGCUUGCGGCCUAUCAGCUAGUUGGUGAGGUAACGGCUCACCAAGGCUACGACGGGUAGCUGGUCUGAGAGGAUGGCCAGCCACAUUGGGACCGAGAAACGGCCCAGACUCCUACGGGAGGCAGCAGUGGGGAAUCUUGCGCAAUGGCCUAACGGCUGACGCAGCGACGCCGCGUGAGGGAUGAAGCUC